UACGUAGGGGGCAAGCGUUGUCCGGAUUUAUUGGGCGUAAAGAGCGUGUAGGCGGUCAGGUAGGUCGGUUGUGAAAACUCGAGGCUCAACCUCGAGCUGUCGGCGGAAACCAUCUGGCUAGAGUCCGGAAGAGGAGAGUGGAAUUCCUGGUGUAGCGGUGAAAUGCGCAGAUAUCAGGAAGAACACCUAUGGCGAAGGCAGCUCUCUGGGACGGUACUGACGCUGAGACGCGAAAGCGUGGGGAGCGAACAGG
rnacentral:rRNA from 1 species